CUCUACUCCAUACGAUAGCAAAUGAGAGGUGCGAUGAUGACAUGAAGCUCAGCACCGGAAGCUCAAGGGCUAGUGAUUGAGUGGGGUGGGGAGAGGGAAGGGAAGGGAAUGUCCUUUGGAAGGGUUGGGACGGUGGGCAGUGUGGGCUUAGGCAGGUCAGGUAGGUGGGGUAGAGGAGGGACUUCUGGGAGUUUUGGCACCUCAAGCUUUGGCAAAGGUGACAGUUCAGGCUUCUCCAAAGCUGGGACAUGCGGAACGGUUGGCAAUUCAGGCUUGGGCAAAGUUGGCAACGUGGACUCUGGCAGAGUAGGGAUAUGAGGUAGAGGUGGGAGUUCAGGUUUAGGAAAAGUAGGGAGUGUAGGAAGAGGUGGCAAUUCUGGCUUAGGAAGCUCAGGAACCUUAGGCAGUGUGGUUUCCUCCAGAAGGUGACGAGAUGCAAAAACUUCUUUGCAACUCAUUAGGGAGAGAGUGAUGAGCAGCAGAGGCAACAGAAUGGAUUGGUCAUGGUGAUGAGCCAUUUUCCCUUUCUGAAUUGCUAAAAGAUUGAGAAUUCUGAACGAGGGUAGAACUUUUCUUCUGAGAAUGGUUUGCAUGAAAGAGUAGGCUUAGGGGUUUUAUAAAGGAGGGAUGAUACUUACGUGACGCAGUGUUAAUGAAUAUAUGAAAACUUAAGCUGGGUAGUUGGGAAGGGUUGUGUGUUGUUAGCUCAACUUCUCAUCCAUAACUUCCUGAUAAUCAAAUAGAUUUGGUCUACGGACUUGCCAUAUUCAGCUGGGAUCUUGAUCAAAGUCAAUAGAAGUUUAGCUGCCUAGAAUUAUCCUCAUUAAUAUGCAUAACCUUACAAUUUGAAUGUAGAAUAGCAGAUGAAAGAAAACUUUACCAAUUUACAUACCAGCAACAUAAAAAACCAGCCUUAUUGACAUCUCACACGUCAAGCCAUUUGGCUGGUAGGCUUUGGAUUCUUCACCAUCUGCAAAUAGUUAACUUUCAACAAAGGAACAUAUAAAAGGUUUGUUAUGGGAUGCAUUGUUCUCCCAUUAGUUUCAAUAAUAAAUUGGGCCAAAUAAUUGCAAUAAAAGUAAACCAAUCCCUGCCCAACAAAGUGUCAGUUGUAAACAAGUCUUGAGAUGGUAUAAAACAUGCUAUGUGAGCAGGUAUUCCUCAUCUAACCUGCUGUGGCCCCUAUGAUGUCGGUUUAUUCAUUUAUUUAUUAUUUUUCAUAAUUAUUGGAUUUUCACCAUCAAGGAGAAAGAGAGGGGUAUGGCAGCUAUACAUGCUCCAGCCUCACUAACAAUUGGUUUCAUAUCAUAACCAAGGCUCCUAGCUAGGUUUAUGUUCCGAAAUCCGAAGUUGAAGCUGAAUUGAACAGUGGCCUGCCCUGCCUUGACUCAUUGCAGAAACCAUCUUCCCAUCAUUAUUAAAACUAAUGGCGAUGGAAUAAUUCACAUGAAGGUAAUUAAUUUGGCAAAUAAACUUCAUCAACCUCCCUUCUUUCUUGAAGCCUUGAAGUAUCAUUUGCAGGUAAGGUAAAGAUGAUGCCAACAGGGUCCAGCUUCCCCUGUGGUAACCGGAAUGAAUCAAUUGAAUGCACUUUAGAAUGGAUAUGCCCUGCACUGUGCAAUUAAUGUUGCAUGAGAACUGUAAUGACUUUAACUGGAUGAAAUAUAUAUAUAUAUAUAUAUGUAAAUAUAAUGUCAUACCAUGUGAUGCCUGUGAAAAUGGCAGCCUUGCUUGUGUAUGUUCUGAUCCACCAACAAUCUUUUACAUACUACAAACAUCUGUUAGUUAUUUAAGUUGAGUCCCAAAAAUAUUAAAAGAUAAGUCUCUGCAUACAGUGGAGUAGUAUACAUGUCAUGAAUUACCCAACCCAACACAUGUCAUUAUCUCUAACAAAGGAGUUCAAGGCAAAAUGUGGUCAACUAGUAAAAUAAUAAGGGAUUAGAUAAAGUGGAAUUGUUGAAGGUGGGUGCAAAGAAUUGGAGAUUAGGCUUUAAUGAGUUGCUGAGGUAGUUUGAUUAGCACAAAUAAUAUAAACAAGCAUUGACCUGAGAGUCGUGGAAGCGACAAGAGAAAGCAGUGGCACUAUCACAUAUAGAGAUACGGAGUUCAAAAGGAAAGAUCAUGUUCAAAAAGUGCAUCAAAAAGUGUAGGCUACUGUGACACAGGCACAGCAAGUCAAAAUGUUAAAGAAAGAAGGGAUCAUCACUAAAAACAAAAAGCCAAAAGGAAUUUACAAGUAUGAACAGGAUUUACAACAUUUAACCAAAACUUUGUAUGGAUAUGAUGCUUGAGAAAUAUAUUGAAUAAGAGGGGGUUGGUCAAGCAACACUAGUAGGCUUUUGGAUCUCAAUCUUCAUUGAGAUACACACUAGUUGACUGGCAAGUUAUAGUGCAAUCAAACCUUCUUGUAAAGGCUCCCAAGACAAAGAUUUGGAUCUUCACGAGAUUCAGAAAAAAGAGGAAGAAAGUACUGCAAAGGGCGAAAGAAAUCUGUGGGCUUGCCUUUUGUACUCGUACCCACAAUCUCAGACAACCGUGACCAUGACGGUGCAGAUGCUGUCGCAUCUCUGUCACACCACACUCCACACACUUCUUACUUUAAUUUCAUACAAGCUACAGGCCAUUGGCCGAAGCUCCAGGCCUAGCAGUAUAAAUUAGGAUUUGAAACCCAGUGUUUGUUUAUGUAGUAUGGGCAGGGGAGAACUUGGGUUGGGCUUCCGCUCAAGUAUAAGGCCAUGUGACAACCAUCUCAUACCCAAUUAGGUUUGGUGGAGUAAUGCUGUAAUUUUGGAAAUGCGUCUCUUCAUUUCAUAAAGGUGAAAGUCUACCUUGUGGAACGGUGAAAGAAGCUAGAAACUAAGCAACAAAAUGGUCCAUCUUCCAUCAAGUAUCUGCCCCCUUGUUUUUCGAUGCUGCUUCUAUUGAAGUCAUUCAGAAAAUCAUAGCAUCCACCUGGAAAACUCCCCUUUUUUUUUAAGGCUCACUCUUUGCCCAUUCUACUGUCUUCUAAGACUAGCGCCCUCCUGAGAUUUAUGGCAUGCAUACAGUGCAUUAUUAAUAUAGCAUUCAAGAGGAGGAUUCAGAUUAACCGAUGAAAACGCCCAACCAAGUAUGUACCCAAGUUCAAACUUCCUAAAUGAUUCCAUCAGAUGAAGAUCAAAUCAGCUCUUUUGUCAACCUUCGCCUCACUUUCAAACAUAGCUUACCAGAGAAGUGCAAUUCAAGGGCUUACAAAGAGUGCCUAUAGCUUGAAGACUGAAAUUCUAAUUCUAACCCAGGGCCAAAAGUCAGCGCCCUUUGGUGGGCGGCACACUGUUAACUCAUUAUCCCACAUUAUAAUAUAAGACUGAUAAUUUUUUUGAAUUAUCAAAAUAUGGUUAAGCUUGCCUUUUUGCUGAAAUAAAUUCCUGAAAUUAUGCAAUUAACCUGAGUUUUUUUUUUUUUUCUUCAAUUAUGCUAACUUCAGUGUUAAAGAACAGAAAAAGCAUAAUUGGAAUGGUAAACCUUCAAAUACAAAUGCAACGAGUUCAUGAUUGCAAUCUGCAUGGCUCCAAAUAAGCCUUAAGAAUGUAUUAUAAUAGCAGGCAUUAGAAGUCAUUCUUCCUUCACUUUUCCAACCCAAUUCUUCUUAUGAUCAUUAUAUUAUAUUUGCACAAGAUAGACAUCAGGGCUUCAUCAUCAUUUAAUGGUUUAUGCCUCCCUUUCAUGGCAACAAAUGGGUGAUGGGAUGCCCAAACACACCGUGGGCUGUUGCAAACCGCUCCAUUAACUCAAUUUUGUUCUGGGUGUUAUGAACAUUUAACCAAAAGAUAGAUUAUUGUUUAUGCUUUUAGUUCCACAUCAAAAGGAAUUUGCGAGAUAAACAGGAACCAUAAAUAAUUAAUAACCAUGAGAGUAUACAAGUAACUUCAAACAUGACCCAGUUUCACACAUCAGACAUCCCCUCAAAAAUCAACCACAAUCACAAAUCAACACAAGCCAACAGAAAACUAUGAAUGAAAACAGACUCCACACAAGCAUUAGCACCAACCCACACACAUAUGAACCAGGAUGCAACCCUGGCGUUUAAGGAUUUCUUCACAUGUCAAUCUCUACUCCAUCCAAAAGCUAAUAAGACGUGUGAUGAUUAUAUGAAACUAUGCACCGGAAGCUCAAGGGCUGGUGGUUGAGUGGGGUGGGGAAAGAGAAGGGAAGGGUAUGUCCUUUGGAAGAGUAGGGAUGCUAGGCAGCGUUGGCUUAGGCAGGUCAGGUAGAUGGGGUAGAGGAGGGACUUCUGGCAGUUUUGGCACCUCAAGCUUUGGCAAAGGUGGCAGUUCAGGCUUCUCCAAAGCUGGGACAUGUGGAACAGUAGGCAAUUCAGGCUUGGGCAAAGUUGGCAACGUGGGCUCUGGUAGAGUUGGGACAUGAGGCAGAGGUGGAAGCUCAGCCUUGGGAAGAGUUGGCAGUUCAGGUUUCUGCAAAGUGGGGAGUGUAGGAAGAGGUGGCAAUUCUACCUUGGGAAGCUCAGGAACCUUAGGCAGUGCGGUUUCCUCCAGAAGGUGACGAGAUGCAAAAACUUCUUUGCCACUCAUUAGGGACAGAGUUAGGAGCAGCAGAGGCAACAGAAUGGAUGGUUGAUGGUGAUGAGCCAUUUCUGAAUUGCUAAAAGACUUGGGCUUCUGAAUUGAUGGUAGAAGUUUCUU
rnacentral:lncRNA from 1 species